rnacentral:rRNA from 1 species
GUACUACAACGCAUGACCUCAUUGGGGUAGGACAACCCGCUAGACUUAAGCAUAUUAAUCAGCGGAGGAAAAGAAACUAACCAGGAUUCCCUCAGUAACUGCGAGUGAAGCGGGAUCGGCUCAAUGUGUGAAUCUGGCUUGGGGUACAUCCCGGGUUCGAGUUGUGCACUAUGGAUGCUUCGUCUGCGUUUGUAAAGGCGGUGGAAGUCCGUUGAAACACGGCACCUCAGAGGGUCACAGUCCUGUACCACCUGCCUGCACUCGCGCCAAUGACAAGUGCUCCUUGAGUCGCGUAGUUUUGUAAUGCUGCGCCAAGUGGGAGGUAGAGACCUUCUAAGGCUAWAUAUGAUGAYGUGACCGAUAGCACACAAGUACCGCGAGGGAAAGGUGAAAAGCAACCAUGAAAAAUGGGUUGAAACAGUAGUGAAAGCGCUACCGGGAUAAGGGCUAUCGGGUGCUGGGGCUCUUUGGGUGUGCUUUAGUGCUACCCUCCGAGACGGCCCGCGAGGGUUGAUGUUGGGGCGAUAGACGCACUGCAGGAAUUCAGCUGCCUUYGGGCAGUGUUGUAGCCUGCGGUUGCUGAUCCUCCUGCGACCUUGUGUGAUUGCGGGUCUUGCGACCGUUAGCCGCCCGUCUUGAAACACGGACCAAGGAGUGCACCUUGCAUGCGAGUCGAAGGGAUUUGAAACCUGGAGGCGUAGCGAACGCGACGAUGGGGAAUGUCCUUGUGGCAGACACCCGCACCCGCCUUGUGCGAGGUAGAGCAUGUACGGUGCGACCCGAAAGAUGGUGAACUAUGCCCGGGUAAGGUGAAGCCAGUGGAAACGCUGGUGGAGGCCUGUAGCGAUUCUGACGUGCAAAUCGAUCGCGUAACCUGGGUAUAGGGGCGAAAGACCUAUCGAACCGUCUAAUGGCUGGUUCCCUCCGAAGUUUCCCUCAGGAUAGCUGCGUUCCUAAUGAGAGUCAGUUGCAUUGCGGUAGAGCGAAUGAUUAGGUGUCUCGGGGCCAUCAUGGCCUCGGCUCAUUCUCAAACUCCGAAUUGCGUGCGAUCCCGUUGCUGUGACCUUGUGGCACGCCGGGAAAAUGACAGGACGCAAGUGGGCUGGUUUUGGUAAGCAG